rnacentral:rRNA from 1 species
CAGAGGGGGCAAGCGUUGUUCGGAAUUACUGGGCGUAAAGGGCGCGUAGGCGGCCUUCUAAGUCAGACGUGAAAUCCCCGGGCUCAACCCGGGAACUGCGUCUGAUACUGGAAGGCUUGAAUCCGGGAGAGGGAUGUGGAAUUCCAGGUGUAGCGGUGAAAUGCGUAGAUAUCUGGAGGAACACCGGUGGCGAAGGCGGCACCCUGGACCGGUAUUAACGCUGAGGCGCGAAAGCCAGGGGAGCAAACGGGAUUAGAUACCCCGGUAGUCCUGGCCCUAAACGAUGAAUGCUUGGUGUGGCGGGUAUCGAUCCCUGCCGUGCCGAAGCUAACGCAUUAAGCAUUCCGCCUGGGGAGUACGGUCGCAAGGCUG